CCUUGGCCGGCUGGAAUGUCACAGAAACCAAUGUCAAAUAAAUACAGGGCUUGCACUCCAUGUUGCAAAAAUAAGCAUGUCCAUUUGCUUGAAAGAAAAAAAAAAAAGUCUUUCAGAUGAGGGAACAUUUUCCAGUCAAUCACACAGCAGCAAAGUCAUCCUGUUGAAUUUGUGACUCACAGGCUCUCUGUGUCAAUAGACAGAGAGUGAGCCCAGCGUUAUGACUUCAGUGGGAGAUGAAGCAGAAGCUGGGAUGAGGCAGGGCUGGCUUUAAAGCAGAGCCCUGGGCUCUGACAAUAAAUAGCGGAGGAAAGUCUGACCACUCACAGGGAGCUCUUGAGGGAGGCCACCCUGGUCCGAAGUGCAUCUUACUUCUAACGUCUGCGUGGGCUCUAGCAAAGGAUCUAGCGGAAAAUACGGUUCAGGGAGUGUGUGAAGCCUGGGCCAACGCAGAGAACGAAGAGAAGACGUGGAGUUGUAGAUUUCUGUCUCCACCUACUUAAGACUUACGGUCUUGAAGGCAUCUUCAGAGCCAACUGCCACAACAUUUCAGGGUAAGGUUUGUUUUUUCUUUUUAAAUUAAAAAAAAAAAAGAAUAUAUAUAUAUAGGGUCUUCCCUGGUAGCUCAGUGGUAAAGAAUCCACCUGCUGAUGCAGGAGAC
ensembl:lncRNA